AGCCAUGCAACUGAAAUGAUGGAGCAAGGUGACAUCAUCCAUUUAAACCUUUUUCUGAUUGGAGGAAACCCAGACUGGUGAGGACUUGGCUCACACUGACCUCUGGUGGAUCACAUAGGAACUGCAUCUGAUGCCAACACAAAUAUAACAGAAACAUGGGGAGAGAAGGGCGUGACAUCCAAGGGAGGUCUACCUGGAGACAUUGUGGUUAUGUGGUAUGCAUCAGUCUGAUCAAAUAUAGUUUCUCUCUCUGUGUCUGCAUGUUUGCACAUAACUUGACCCUUUGAGUUAUUCCUGGCUGUGUGUUUACAGCUAUGUGAUACAUGAAACAACACUAAUAAACAAACAAUAUCCAUUCAGGCCCAGCUUUGAAAUUGUAUUUAAAUAGGGCCUUUUUC